UACGUAGGGUCCGAGCGUUGUCCGGAAUUAUUGGGCGUAAAGGGCUCGUAGGCGGUUCGUCACGUCGGGAGUGAAAACUCGGAGCUUAACUCCGAGCCUGCUUCCGAUACGGGCAGACUAGAGGUAGGCAGGGGAGAGCGGAACUCCUGGUGUAGCGGUGGAAUGCGCAGAUAUCAGGAAGAACACCGGUGGCGAAGGCGGUUCUCUGGGCAUGUCCUGACGCUGAGGAGCGAAAGUGUGGGGAGCGAACAGG
rnacentral:rRNA from 1 species